rnacentral:tRNA from 1 species
GGGCUCGUGGUCUAGUCGGUUAUGACGCCGCUCUCACACAGCGGAGAUCCUGAGUUCGAGUCUCAGCGGGCCCA